GUGCCAGCCGCCGCGGUAAUACGGAGGGUGCAAGCGUUAUCCGGAUUUAUUGGGUUUAAAGGGUCCGUAGGCGGAUCUGUAAGUCAGUGGUGAAAUCUCACAGCUUAACUGUGAAACUGCCAUUGAUACUGCAGGUCUUGAGUGUUGUUGAAGUAGCUGGAAUAAGUAGUGUAGCGGUGAAAUGCAUAGAUAUUACUUAGAACACCAAUUGCGAAGGCAGGUUACUAAGCAACAACUGACGCUGAUGGACGAAAGCGUGGGGAGCGAACAGGAUUAGAUACCCUGGUAGUCC
rnacentral:rRNA from 1 species